UUAACCAAUUGUAAACAUGUUUGUUUGCUUUUGCUUAUAAUUGUAAGGAUUGACAGUUAAGUUUAAAUUAAAUUAAAUUUAUUCACUUUUUCAAGUUAAACAGUGUUAGUUUUGUUAAAUUAAAGGUAACAAUUGGAACAGUUAAUUAAUACUUUGAGCACAUUGAGAGUCAACUGUAACCAAAUGCAGAUGGAAAACAAUGCCAAAAUCAGAUGAUCAGUUUUUAAAUACGAGAAAGAUGACUUGCAAAGCAACAUGGAUUCACAUACAAAGUAACUUUACUUUCCAUCCUGUCUUUGGUUAAUUUGAUGAUUUUGGAGUAAUAUUGGAUGAUUAUAAGGAACAAAACGAUGAUACAUAACAUAACAUGGUCUUGGAGUGUUUAAUAAGUCGAGCCAGCUCGUAAAGUCCAUAAAAAGUUAAAGUGUUGGGCGAUCCAAGGGGAAGCAAAGAGGAUUCAUCUCAAUAAUGUCUUUGUUGGGGACUAUAGAGAGUUACAAUCAAUGAGGAGACAAUUAAUUGAAUCUGAAAGACCUGGAAAUUCAGUGUAUUGAUUAAAAGAUUACUUACUAGUAUUGAGUUGGAUAAUAUUGUGGAAAAUGUUCAUGCUGAGAACGAGCCAGUAAAACUCCAAGAAUAAUUCCUUUGAGAAAUUUUCUUGUUCCAAAGGAUUGGGCAGUUAACAUCAAACUAUAGAUGACAAAUAACAUGAAAAUUAAUCCUUUUCUGAACAUGGUUGCUGAAAUACUUAAAGUUACGAUUGGUCAAUAAUCAACAGUAAACACUUUUGGAGCUGAUGUCACUCAAGUUGGUCGAUUGAAAGCGAAAAUGCAAAUGAUCAUUGAAAGUGAAAAGAAGUGCUGAAUAUGACAAUUGUUGGUUAUUGGACUUUUGGCUUCCUUUAGAUGAUUAAGCGUCAGAAAAGUAAAGAUUGGAUAUAUUUGACAAUUCAGAAAUUUAAUUGAAACAUCAUCAUUAAUUAAUCAAAUCAACCAUAUAACUCAACUCUUCUCAUCAAAGAUGAUUGCAUUGAUGUAAUCUUUCAGUCUCAAUCUCAACUUCUAAUGACGAUUAACAUGCAUUUCAGUGAUGAUGAAUGUUGAUUACUAUUAAAAAUUUAUUUUAAGUCAUUAUCAAGCCUUUUCCCAAUAAGAUUAUCCUAAACCAAUUGAUGGCGAUGAUGAAAGCAGAUUGUGAUUCCAUUAAAAUGCAAUUAAAAAUCAUAAUAAUAGGGAAAGUUAGAAGUUAUUAGACCACGAUUAGAUGAAACCCGAAAUUUACUAAUUAAAGGUUAAUCUCGGAAGGUCAAUCAGGUGAAAAUGAGUUAAUAUUCAUAUUGAUAUAAAGCCUGCUCUAGUUGUCAAUAAAUUACAAUAGUGAACUUAAUACUUCCGAUAAGUUGAAAUUGACAAUAAUUUACAUUUUAAUCAAUAAAAGCCAUUAAAAUCACUU